UCGUUGUUCAAUAAAAUAACAAAGUGAACGUUUUUUUUAUUUUACAAAACAAAAAAAAAACAAACAGUUUUAUUUUCGCCCUUGGUCAAUAGCAAAGAGGGAGAAUUCCUUUUUUGCCCUCGUUGGUUAAUAAACAUUUUAAUAAAAUAAAACAAAGGUUUUCUCUAUCAAAACAAAAGGACAUAAAAAAUUAAACGUUUUCUCUCUGAAUGUUUUCCCCCAAAAAUGUAUGAACCCCAAAUCGCAAAUCGCAAAUCUAUGAUUCUUCGCUCUAAUUCUUUGACCUAAUUCUUCGCUCUAAUUCUUCACUCCUAAUAGACGUUCAGAUUCAUUGCUCGAAGUCGGUCAGAUUGCAAGUCAGAUUUCGCUCCAAAUCAUUGCUCGAAGUCGCUCUAAUUGUGUCUCAAAAUUUUGGUAAAUUUUGGCUCAAAACUAUAUGAUUAAGCUCUUAAUUUGUUGAUUUUUUUUUGUCAAUUUUUUCCUGCAUGUUAAUAUUGCUCUAAAUUUGUUGAUUUUUUUAUUGUCAAUUUGUUCCUGCAUGUUAGUAUUGCUCUACAUUUGUCAAUUUUUUUUGUCAAUUUGUUAAUUCUGCAAGUUUUUGGGAGUUGUUAUUUAUGCUAGUAAUGUCAGAUAGAUUAUGGAGAAGCUAAUCAGAAUUAUUCGUAUUUUAUCAGCGGUUUAUCGAAUUAAUUGCUUAAUUGAUCGUAUGAGGUAUUGAUUACUGUGAAUUGGGAUAAUUGUAAUUUGUUUUGAUUACUAUGAAUUGUGAUAAUUGAUUACUCUAUCUGAAAAUAUGCGCAUGUGCCAUCUUAGUUGCUAAAGCUGCUGUUUAUAUUAUAGUAUUAUACUAGCUAGUAGUGAGCCAGUGAGGUAAUAUUCACCAAACAUCCAAGGGUAUAACAGUGUACAUUUAAAUUGACUACAAGGUUACUAAUUAAUCUUAUAAAAGCAUACAUUAGGUGAAAUAAUAUGAUGAAACUGAUGAUCAAGUAAAAGGUUGCCCAACAUUGCAGUAAGCUAAAAGUAUUAUAAUUAAUUUAGUACUCACUAAUGAAUUUAAGUUUGAUAGAAAGUGUGAUGUUUUUUAAACAUGGAUGAUUAAAAAGAUGCAUGUAUCCACCUUUUUUUAUAACAGUGUGGUAUACUUAUAUAUUGUUUUAUGUAAUAUAGAAUAGAUAAUGAUAGAAGUUGGAUGCAUGUUCAAGGGUUGAAUGGUAGGCUUCAACCAAGUUACCGAAAUGGUGUUAAAUACUUUCUUGAUUUUGCUUUCAAGGACACUAACCCUAAUUCUAGGGAUAAGAAGAGGUGUCCUUGUUUGAAUUGUCUAAAUUAAUUUGACCAUGACCGAGCGACAAUGCAUGUUUAUCUCCUUCGAGUGGGAAUAGACCCUGAUUACAAUCCAUGGGUAUUCCAUGGGGAGGAACAAUCCCUUGACAUCGGUGAGAUGGAGAUGUCCGAGGAGGAAGGUGAUGAGUUAUAUGAUGAAGGUCCUCUUGUAUCAGAAGAGAUGGCUUCUUUGGUACAUGAUGCGACAAAUGUAGUGCCAGAGGAGCACGACGGGGAUGGAGGGGAUGGAGAUUGUUCUGAGAUUCCCGAUAAAUUUUAUAGAUUGAUGAAAGAUGCAGAAGAAGAGCUAUGUUUGGGUUGUAAAACAUUUUCAAGGCUUGAAUUCAUUGUAACUCUUUUACACCUUAAGGUUAGUGGGGGUUGGAGUGAGAAAUCAUUUAAUAGGCUUCUUAGUGCAUUACAAAAGGCCUUUAACUAUGACCCAAACUUUCCAAAAAGCUCUUAUGAAGCCAAGAAGUACACAAAAGACCUUGGGUUGAAUUAUGUGAAGAUUCAUGCUUGUGUCAAUCAUUGCAUACUUUAUAGAAAAUAGUAUGAAAAUGUUGAUUCAUGCCUUAUUUGUGAGGAGUCUAGAUGGAAGGAAGGUAGCGGUGAAUUUGAUGAUAGUGUUACUUUCUCAGAAUCUCAAGGGGCCUCACAAAGAAUGCCUAAAGUACCUCGUAUGGUUCUUCGCCAUUUUCCUUUAGUGCCAAGGCUUCAAAGGCUUUUCAUGUCAUUGAAAAUUGCAAAGCACAUGCGAUGGCAUAAAGAGAGGCAACAACUUGAUGACAACAUAUUAAGGCACCCAUCCGAUUCAAUGGCAUGGAAGAAGCUUGAUGAGUCAUUUCCGGAGUUUACAAUCGAUCCACGUAAUGUGAGAUUAGGUCUUUCGACUGAUGGCUUUAAUCUUGGUGGACAUUUUGGCGCUAAUUAUAGCAUUUGGCCAAUGUUUUUGGUGCCAUAUAAUCUUCCACCAUGGAUGUGCAUGACAAGUCCAUACAUCAUGUUGUCACUCCUAAUUCCCGGUCCCAAGUCUCCUGGAAUAGAUAUUGAUGUGUUCUGAGAACCAUUGAUUGAUGGACUUCAAGAAUUAUGGGAAGUUGGGGUGAAAACUUAUGAUUCACAUAGUCGCCAAAACUUUACAGUGAAGGCAGCCCUAUUGUGGACAAUGAGUGAUUUUCCCGCUUAUGGAAAUUUGUGUGGUUGGAGUAAUUCUGGUAAACUUGCUUGUCCAUCAUGUCACAAAGAUACCUCACACGAGAGAUUGAAGCUUGGAAGGAAAGAAUUCUUUGAUGGUACUAGAAGAUUCUUGGAUCCUGAUCAUAGAUGGAGAAUGGAUAGAAAAUCUUUUAAUGGAGAAACAGAAAGACGACCACCUCCUAUCCCUUUGUCGGGGGAUGAAAUAGUAGAAGCAUUUGAUGGUGUUCCGAAUGUGAUAUUUGGGAAGAAGAGAAAGAGAACUCAAAGAUACUUAUUUGACCAAUGGAAGAAGUUUAGUACCUCCUUUAGACUCCCUUAUUGGAGUAAGCUUUUGGUAAGGCAUAACUUAGAUGUGAUGCACAUUGAAAAAAAAUAUUUGUGAUAGUAUCUUAGCAACUGUACUUGAUAUUCUUAAUAAGAAAAAGGACACUUUGAACGUACGAAAGGAUUUGUUGAAGUUGAACAUGCAUGAGAAAUUGAGACCUAUCAAGAUAGGUGAUAAAUAUGCAAUUCCUAUAGCUCCUUAUCAAUUGACAUUGCUUGAGAGGCGUAGAGUAUCGGAGUGGUUGUCUAAGGUUAAAGUGCCAGAUGGUUACUCUUCUAACAUAGCUCGAUGUGCAAGUGUAGAAGAUGGAAAAAUCUCGAACAUGAAAAGCCAUGAUUGUCAUGUUUUUAUGCAAGAUUUGCUUACACCGGCAUUUCAAGGCAUUUUGCCUAAGCAAGUGUUAGAACCUUUGGUUGAGCUAAGCUUGUUUUUUAAGCAAUUGUGCUCCAAAACUCUAAAAAUUGAUGUGUUGGAGCGAUUGGAAAAGAGUAUUGCAAUAACUCUUUGUAAGCUUGAAAAGGUGUUUGUUCCAUCAUUCUUUGAUAUUAUGAUUCACCUCCCAAUCCACUUGGCUACUGAGGCCAAGCUUGCUGGGCUAGUGCAAUAUUGUUGGCAAUAUCGAUUUGAAAGGGAAAUGUACACCAUGAAGCCGCCUACUGCAACUAACAAAGCUCAACCAGAAGGCUCUAUAGCUAAUGCCCGUAUAAUGGAAGAAUGUCUUACCUUCGUCUCUAGAUAUUUAAGUGGUGUUGAGACAAAAUUCAAUCGCAUGAGUAGAAAUGACUUGGAUAAGAAUUAUCAUUCUCCAUUGUUUUAACUAUCCGUUUUUCAAAACAAGGGAAAUCCAUUAGGUAGAAGAACAUUCAAGCAAUUGAGCAUUUUAGAUUGGGAGCAAGCUCAAUUAAAUGUUCUUAUGAAUUGUCCAGAAGUACAACCAUUUGUGGAGGUCAAUGAAUCUGGAGACUCAAUCAUCAUUAUCGCAAUUAGAUUCUAAUAAUAAUAGUAAUGAGUUUGUAGGGUCGACCUCUCAACAACCUAAGAAAAGAAAAGGUCCCUUUCGUGGUCCAAGUAGAGCACUCAAGUAUAAAAAGUUGCAAAGCAUUCAACCCGGAAAGCUCAAGGUUAAUAUUCCUCCAGCAUUAGGAGCUGUUGUGGGUGAGCGUGAAAAUCAAUUUGUUGCUGAGUGUGCUUACUGGGUGAAGGAGAUUUUCCCCCUUGAUGUUCCUAAAUGGAGUGAUAUGCCUGAAGGGAUUUCAGAUCGAUUAUAUGCAAGGAUUAAGUCAAAGUACGAAUUGGGUGAAGGUGCACACAUUUGCAAAGCAAUAAAGAUUCAAUGCUCCACCCUUUAUAGGCAUUGGAGAGAAAGGUUGAAGGCUGACUAUUUUUCAAAUAGAAAAUCUUUAUUAGAGGCGGAGCGUGCUUGCCCACCUUCAAUAAAUCUUGACUAAUGGAAGUGGCUUGUUUAUAACUAUUGGAGCUCUCCUAAGCAGAAGGAAGGGAGUGAGAAGAAUCGGGCUAAUGCUCUUGCAAAGAAGAUCAAGUUGACAUGUGGUGCGAAAUCAACAACUUGCAUAAUUUAUGAAUUGGAACUUGAGGCACAAGCUUGUGAAAAUGAGAAUGAGGUCACCGAAAUCAAUGGUUCUAGUUCAAAUGUAACCACUGCAUCCAAAGCUAAUGAUGAUCCCAUGUAUUUAAAGUUAUGGGAGAAGUCAAAGAGGCAUAAAAAUGGGAAGUUUGACGAUGAGGCCGAGGAGAAGUUCAAGGAAUUAAGGGAGUUGCAUGAGAAAGAAAUUAGUGAAAAGGGGGUUGAUAAUCUUACUCUUGAAGAAGCUUAUGUGAAGGUUCUUGGACAUCGUUCAGGUUAUGCCCGUGGUUUAGGCAAAGGGCACCCGGUGUCGUCUAAAGAUGGAAAGAUAGGGAGAGCUGAGCUGGAACAUAAUGUUGAAAAACUACAAAAUGAAAAUAAUAUUAUGCGAGCUGAAUUGGAAGCGUCUAAGAAGAAACAAGAAGACCUAGAACAAAAGCUUCGGUUAAUCAUGGAGAAGAUUGGCCUUGAUGCUUGAUAGAGAGUGUGAUUGCUAAUGAUAUUGAUAUGGAGAAAGCUUUGUUGUUACUUAAUGAACCGGAUGUGAAAAGAUCUGGUCGACCAAAGGGUAAAAAGCGCUUGGAAGAAGAAGCUGUCCAUGACCUUUAUUAAUUUACAUUAGUUUUAUUUUUGUCAAGUUUGCAGUUAGGGGAUCAAGUCAAUGUUUUGGGGAUGGAGGACACCAAAAGGCUAGUUGCAAGGAUGAGAAGAUUGCUUGAUAGACAACUUGGUUAAUACUUUUGUAUAUAUUUACUAGAAAACUUGGUUAAUACUUUUGUAUAUAUAAUGACCAAAUUAAAAUUUAUGCCUAUUAGCACCUAUUAUAGAAAAUUUAAGCCUAUUGGCACCUAGAA